ACGUAGGAUGCAAGCGUUGUUCGGAAUUACUGGGCGUAAAGAGUACGUAGGCGGUUUGAUAAGUCUGCUAUUAAAGACCGGGGCUCAACUCCGGGAAUGUAGUGGAAACUGUCAGACUAGAGGACAAUAGAGGAAGUCGGAAUUCUCAGUGUAGCGGUGAAAUGCGUAGAUAUUGGGAAGAACACCAGUGGCGAAAGCGGACUUCUGGGUUGUUACUGACGCUGAGGUACGAAAGCGUGGGGAGCAAACGGGA
rnacentral:rRNA from 1 species